rnacentral:rRNA from 1 species
GAUGAACGCUAGCGGCAGGCUUAAUACAUGCAAGUCGAGGGGCAGCAGGGGUGUAGCAAUACACUUGCUGGCGACCGGCAAACGGGUGCGGAACACGUACGCAACUUACCCUGAACUGGGGGAUAGCCCGGGGAAACCCGGAUUAAUACCCCGUAACACUGUGAGGUGGCAUCACCUUAUCGUUAUAGCUCCGGUGGUUCAGGAUGGGCGUGCGGCUGAUUAGGUAGUUGGUUGGGGUAAUGGCCCACCAAGCCUACGAUCAGUAACUGGUGUGAGAGCACGACCAGUCACACGGGCACUGAGACACGGGCCCGACUCCUACGGGAGGCAGCAGUAAGGAAUAUUGGGCAAUGGAGGCAACUCUGACCCAGCCAUGCCGCGUGGAGGAUGAAGGCCCUCUGGGUUGUAAACUUCUUUUACCUGGGACGAAACCUUUCUUUUCUAAGGGAGUUGACGGUACCAGGGGAAUAAGCACCGGCUAACUCCGUGCCAGCAGCCGCGGUAAAAC